rnacentral:lncRNA from 1 species
GGCCAGGGUAAUCCAUAAGAUGGAUUUGAAAGGUUGAAAUACAAUGUGGUCGACUUAAUUAGAGUUGAUAGUUAAACCUUAGGUCUCCUUGAGUAUUUGGGUUAACAAGAUGAAUUAUAUGGUAACCAUACGCCAGUAGGUUCUAGAAAAUUGCUUUGCAAUACUUUGACCUAUCCGAUCAUCAGGUCAUUAUUGCUACA